AGACACGGCCCAGACUCCUACGGGAGGCAGCAGUGGGGAAUAUUGCACAAUAGGGGAAACCCUGAUGCAGCGACGCAGCUUGCGGGAUGACGGCCUUCUGGUUGUAAACCGCUUUCAGCAGGGAAGAAGCCGUAAGGUGACGGUACCUGCAGAAGAAGUACCGGCUAACUACGUGCCAGCAGCCGCGGUAAUACGUAGGGUACGAGCGUUGUCCGGAAUUAUUGGGCGUAAAGAGCUCGUAGGUGGUUGGUCACGUCUGCUGUGGAAACGCAACGCUUAACGUUGCGCGUGCAGUGGGUACGGGCUGACUAGAGUGCAGUAGGGGAGUCUGGAAUUCCUGGUGUAGCGGUGAAAUGCGCAGAUAUCAGGAGGAACACCGGUGGCGAAGGCGGGACUCUGGGCUGUAACUGACACUGAGGAGCGAAAGCAUGGGGAGCGAACAGGAUUAGAUACCCUGGUAGUCCAUGCCGUAAACGUUGGGCACCUAGGUGUGGGGGACAUUCCACGUUCUCCGCGCCGUAGCUAACGC
rnacentral:rRNA from 1 species